GUCGAACGGCAGCGAGGAGAAGCUUGCUUCUCUGUCGGCGAGUGGCGAACGGGUGAGUAUAGCAUCGGAACGUGCCAAGUAGUGGGGGAUAACCAAACGAAAGUUCGGCUAAUACCGCGUAAGCUCCAAGGAGGAAAGUAGGGGACCUAAAUAAGGCCUUACGCUAUUUGAUCGGCCGAUGUCGGAUUAGCUAGUUGGUGGGGUAAUGGCUCACCAAGGCAAUGACCCGUAACGGGUCUGAGAGGACGAUCCGCCACACUGGGACUGAGACACGGCCCAGACUCCUACGGGAGGCAGCAGUGGGGAAUUUUGGACAAUGGGGGAAACCCUGAUCCAGCCAUGCCGCGUGUAUGAAGAAGGCCUUAGGGUUGUAAAGUACUUUUGUUAGGGAAGAAAAGCUAGUUUUUAAUAAAAAUUAGUGAUGACGGUACCUAAAGAAUAAGCACCGGCUAACUACGUGCCAGCAGCCGCGGUAAUACGUAGGGUGCAAGCGUUAAUCGGAAUUAUUGGGCGUAAAGCGAGUGCAGACGGUUACUUAAGCCAGAUGUGAAAUCCCCAAGCUUAACUUGGGACGUGCAUUUGGAACUGGGUGACUAGAGUGUGUCAGAGGGAGGUAGAAUUCCACAUGUAGCGGUGGAAUGCGUAGAGAUGUGGAGGAAUACCGAUGGCGAAGGCAGCCUCCUGGGAUAACACUGACGUUGAGGCUCGAAAGCGUGGGG
rnacentral:rRNA from 1 species